GAUGAACGCUAGCGGCAGGCUUAAUACAUGCAAGUCGUGGGGCAGCAUGAAUGUAGCAAUACAUUUGAUGGCGACCGGCAAGCGGGUGCGGAACACGUACACAACCUUCCUAUAAGUGGGGAAUAGCCCAGAGAAAUUUGGAUUAAUACCCCGUAACAUAAUGAUGUGGCAUCACAUUAUUAUUAUAGCUUCGGCGCUUAUUGAUGGGUGUGCGGCUGAUUAGAUAGUUGGCGGGGUAACGGCCCACCAAGUCUACGAUCAGUAGCUGAUGUGAGAGCAUGAUCAGCCACACGGGCACUGGGACACGGGCCCGACUCCUACGGGAGGCAGCAGUAAGGAAUAUUGGUCAAUAGACGCAAGUCUGAACCAGCCAUGCCGCGUGAAGGAUUAAGGUCCUCUGGAUUGUAAACUUCUUUUAUCUGGGACGAAAAAAGGCGAUUCUUCGUCACUUGACGGUACCAGAUGAAUAAGCACCGGCUAACUCCGUGCCAGCCGCCGCAGUAAGAC
rnacentral:rRNA from 1 species